UGAUAUUCCGGCCUCCACGUCGUGCCAC
rnacentral:sRNA from 1 species